GUGAGGAAUAUUGGACAAUGGGCGCAAGCCUGAUCCAGCCAUGCCGCGUGCAGGAAGACGCAUCUAUGGUGUGUAAACUGCUUUUGUACGGGAAGAAACACUCCCUCGUGAGGGAGCUUGACGGUACCGUAAGAAUAAGGAUCGGCUAACUCCGUGCCAGCAGCCGCGGUAAUACGGAGGAUCCAAGCGUUAUCCGGAAUCAUUGGGUUUAAAGGGUCCGUAGGCGGUUUAAUAAGUCAGUGGUGAAAGCCCAUCGCUCAACGAUGGAACGGCCAUUGAUACUGUUAGACUUGAAUUACAAGGAAGUAACUAGAAUAUGUAGUGUAGCGGUGAAAUGCUUAGAUAUUACAUGGAAUACCAAUUGCGAAGGCAGGUUACUACUUGUGGAUUGACGCUGAUGGACGAAAGCGUGGGGAGCGAACAGGAUUAGAAACCCUAGUAGUCC
rnacentral:rRNA from 1 species